AUUGAACGCUGGCGGCAGGCCUAACACAUGCAAGUCGAACGAGUGGCGGACGGGUGAGUAAUGUCUGGGGAACUGCCCGAUGGAGGGGGAUAACUACUGGAAACGGUAGCUAAUACCGCAAACUAUCGGAUGCGCCCAGAUGGGAUUAGCUAGUAGGUAAGGUAACGGCUCACCUAGGCGACGAUCCCUAGCUGGUCUUGGAGGAUGAUCAGCCACACUGGAACUGAGACACGGUCAAGACUGCUGCGGGAGGCAGCGGUGGAGAAUAUUGCAAAAUGGGAGCAAUCCUAAUACAGACGUGCCGCGUAUAUGCAGAAGGCUCUCGGGUUGUAAAGUACUUUCAGCGAGGAGGCGUUACCCGCAGAAUGGGCACCGGCUAACUCCGUGCCAGCGGCCGCGGUAAUAC
rnacentral:rRNA from 1 species